rnacentral:rRNA from 1 species
CCUACGGGAGGCAGCAGUGGGGAAUAUUGCACAAUGGGGGAAACCCUGAUGCAGCGACGCCGCGUGAGUGAAGAAGAAUUUCGGUAUGUAAAGCUAUAUCAGCAGGGAAGAAAAUGACGGUACCUGACUAAGAAGCCCCGGCUAACUACGUGCCAGCAGCCGCGGUAAUACGUAGGGGGCAAGCGUUAUCCGGAUUUAUUGGGUGUAAAGGGCGUGUAGGCGGGAAUGCAAGUAAGAUGUGAAAACUAUGGGGUCAACCCAUAGCAUGCAUUUGAAACUGAAUUUCUU